rnacentral:snRNA from 1 species
GGAUGUAAGGUUGAUCUGGCUGUGUCAUCUGUCACUCUAUUGAUCAGCAGGGUUGAAUCAGCUGAUCUGGUUGGCUAGACAGGUGCCCCUUCUUUCCCUCACAGCUCUGUGUGCAUCUCUAUUGAAGCAGUGCACUGAGUUGAAGAGGAAGACCUUCCCCAGUAGAAGAGGACCAUUUUCCAGCAUAGCCAUGCUUUCAUGACAGAAUUUCCAAACAAGUUCUAGGGUCCAUUUGUAGGAGAAAGUGGAGGAAUCAAGCUUCCAAAACUACAGACACAUACAAAUGAGCUGCUGCAUGUGGCAGUCUGCCUUUAUUA